rnacentral:rRNA from 1 species
CAUACGGGACGCAGCAGUAGGGAAUCUUCCACAAUGGACGAAAGUCUGAUGGAGCAACGCCGCGUGAGUGAAGAAGGGUUUCGGCUCGUAAAGCUCUGUUGGUAGUGAAGAAAGAUAGAGGUAGUAACUGGCCUUUAUUUGACGGUAAUUACUUAGAAAGUCACGGCUAACUACGUGCCAGCAGCCGCGGUAAUACGUAGGUGGCAAGCGUUGUCCGGAUUUAUUGGGCGUAAAGCGAGUGCAUGCGGUUUAAUAAGUCUUAUGUGAAA